UUAGAGAGACACUCAUAGAG
rnacentral:miRNA from 1 species